AGUUUGAUUAUGGCUCAGGAUGAACGCUGGCGGCGUGCCUAACACAUGCAAGUCGAACGAAGCAUAUUCAACGGAGAUUCGUCGAAGCUGGAUAUGACUUAGUGGCGGACGGGUGAGUAAUGUAUGAGCAACCUGCCUUUCAGAGGGGGACAACAGUUGGAAACGACUGCUAAUACCGCAUAAUGUAUUUGGGUGGCAUCACCUGGAUACCAAAGGAGCAAUCCGCUGAAAGAUGGGCUCAUAUCUGAUUAGCUUGUUGGCGGGGUAACGGCCACCAAGGCGACGAUCAGUAGCCGGACUGAGAGGUUGAACGGCCACAUUGGGACUGAGAUACGGCCCAGACUCCUACGGGAGGCAGCAGUGGGGAAUAUUGGGCAAUGGGCGAAAGCCUCGACCCAGCAACGCCGCGUGAAGGAAGAAGGUCUUCGGAUUGUAAACUUCUUUUAUGAGGGACGAAGGACGUGACGGUACCUCAUGAAUAAGCCACGGCUAACUACGUGCCAGCCGCGGC
rnacentral:rRNA from 1 species